AUGAGCGUUUCGAUGUCACUGGUACAGGGUGGUGCUGCCGGUGGUGCGCCACAGGGCGCCAGCGCAAUCUUGGCCGCAGCGGCUCCCUACUAUCAACCGCCGGCUGUUCCCCAGGAUGUCCAGCCGGAUCGUCCCAUCGGCUACGGAGCAUUCGGAGUUGUCUGGGCCGUCACAGAUCCGCGGGAUGGACGACGAGUGGCCUUGAAGAAGCUGCCAAAUGUGUUCCAAUCGUUGGUCUCAUCGAAGCGCGUUUUCCGCGAGCUGAAAAUGUUGUGCUUCUUCAAGCAUGAGAAUGUUCUUUCAGCUCUGGACAUUUUACAGCCACCGCAUUUGGAUUUCUUUCAAGAAAUCUAUGUGAUAACGGAGCUGCUGCAAUCGGAUCUGCACAAGAUAAUCGUGUCGCCGCAGCACCUGUCCGCCGACCACAUCAAGGUGUUCCUCUACCAGAUCCUGCGCGGCCUCAAGUAUCUGCACUCGGCCCGCAUCCUGCAUCGCGACAUCAAGCCGGGCAAUCUGCUGGUGAACUCGAAUUGCGUGCUCAAGAUCUGUGACUUUGGAUUGGCCCGCGUCGAGGAGCCGGAUCAGGCCAAGCACAUGACCCAGGAGGUGGUCACCCAGUACUAUCGCGCCCCGGAGAUCCUGAUGGGCGCUCGCCACUACUCGUCGGCGGUGGAUGUGUGGUCGGUGGGCUGCAUUUUCGGCGAACUCUUGGGCCGUCGCAUCCUCUUCCAGGCCCAGAAUCCCGUGCAGCAGCUGGAGCUGAUUACGGAGCUGCUGGGCACACCAACCAUGGAGGAUAUGCGUCACGCCUGCGAGGGCGCACGCACUCACAUGUUGCGCCGGGCGCCCAAGCCGCCCUCCUUCUCGGUGCUCUACACACUCAGCUCACAUGCCACGCACGAGGCGGUGCACCUGCUCUGCCAGAUGCUCGUCUUCGAUCCGGACAAGCGUAUCUCGGUGACAGAUGCCCUGGCGCAUCCGUAUCUGGAUGAGGGGCGUCUGCGCUACCACUCGUGCAUGUGCAAGUGCUGCUUCACUACCUCAGCCGGAAUGCGUCAGUAUACGGCUGAUUUCGAGCCCUCCGCCGGCCAGCCCUUCGACGAUCUGUGGGAACGCAAGCUCACAUCCGUGCAGCAGGUCAAAGAGGAAAUGCACAAGUUCAUUGCCGAGCAGCUGCAAACGGGUCGUGUGCCGCUGUGCAUCAAUCCACAGAGUGCAGCCUUCAAGAGUUUCGCCAGCCAAUGAGAAUGAGAAAAUCUACUACUACUACCACUACCACUACUACCACUACAACUUGCACUGCUGCUCCUGCCGCUGCUCCAAUCCGCCGCCGCCUACUGCUGCGCUGUCCUCAAGAACCGAUCGAUCCAGAUCCAGAUCGAGAUAUACUAGGCGCGCGAUCUCCUCUCACUAGAACGAAUCGAUAUAGACACGCAGAAGUCACAACAUACUAUCCGCAAUCUCUGCCGAUUGAUUGACGAAUGAAAAUCAAACUGAAAAUGCUAAUGAAAAUGAAAACGAAAUCGAAAUCGAUAAAGAAAACGUAACCGAAUACGAAUACGAAAGCACAGCCAAGAUAAAGAUACAAUAAUACAGAUACAGAAAAUGAGGCCUCGGGGCGGCAACUGUCUCUCUACUCCUUCUUAGUUCGACCGUGGCACAUCCUUCGGAGCUGCCGCCCUCGCCUCAUCAAUGGGAAUGACGGCAAAAUGAGGCGAUUGCUGCCUAAAAUCGAAACAAAAGCAACACAGCCAAACGAUAGACCCUUGCCGCCGAGCAGAAGGAGGAGAGGAGUCGAUUCCCAGUCCAAAAACCCCUCGAAAAGCAACCCCAUCCAAAACCAACCCAAUCAAAUCCAGAGAUAACUCAACUCAGCCAGGAACAACUAUUGAAUAAUUUUUAAGCGCCAAACGGCUUUUAAGUGGGCGUUUGUCUGUUUGAAAGUUAAAGCAUUCCACCACCGAAAUUAACUAAAACAAAACAAACAAUUAUUUAAUAAUACUAUAGACAAACAAAUAUGUAACGUAACUCAACGGAAACUAGUCUAAACAACAAAACUGUAGUUAAAGCAGCAGCAGCAUCGACGCAAAACAAGCAAGUUUGAAGAAAACAAAAAUGUUAAAAAUGUUAAAAAAAAAAAAAGGAAAUUAAUGAGAGAGAGAGGGAGCAGCAGCAGUAGAAUCUACGCACUAAAAACAAAGCGUAUUUAACAAAUAACUAUAAUUUUUUGGCAACAAAGCAGACAUUUUGUUGUGCUUGACAUGAAUUGGAAAUGAAAAUUCAAUUAAAAUGAAAAACAAGUGAAUCGUUUUAUCGUUUUAUGUUAAGCUCCUAUUAAAACUAUGUAUAUGUAAAUUAAUUAGCAACACACACAGACAUCGUAUUCAUUAUAAACAAGUAUGCUUAAAUCUUAAAUAUAUCGAUAUAUAUAUUUAAA